GGGGAUUUGGCUCAGUGGCAGAGCGCUUGCCUAGGAAGCGUAAGGCCCUGGGUUCGGUCCCCAGCUCCG
rfam:Rattus norvegicus chromosome 10, whole genome shotgun sequence.